GUGGCGUGCUGGGUACUAUUUUUCUGGGGUGGCCAGUCGGCUGGCAACUAAUAUGCGCCCUUAUAAUAUUACCCUUGAUAAACGAGGGCCGAAGGCACGAGCCAAGCGCCGCAGGUGCGAGAUUUGUCUAGAGGAGUCCGGGGGCAUGCCCCCCGGGAAAAUUUUUGAAUUUAGAGUCUCUGAAAUGCCAUUUCCUGGACUUUGGGGGAAGAUUUGACAGAAAUCUGAUGGUCAGGAAACGGCAUUACAACGUGUCGAAAUUUGAAAAUUGGUUUGAAUUUAGGCAAUGCUAACCACUUCCAGCAAUUAAUCUAAUCCCAAUUCUAUUCUCUACUGAUCUGAAUUCAUUUACAACUUACAGCACUUUUAUACAAUAACACACGGACCCCACGCAUAUGCAUGAUUCCCGUGAUCGCUUCGAAGCCUGAUCAAUAUUCCGGUAAUGAGACAUUGCGUGUGAUCACUGAUCAUGUUUCUAUAUGAACGAGUGAUUUCGUGUGAGUCGUGAGGUAGCAAAUACGGUUAGACAAAAUAGUUUGCAAUUUAAUAUACUCACUCACUUUGUCGCCUAUGCGCUUAGUCUGUUUAUAAGUCUAUAAACACAUCUUUCCUUGGCGGAAUUAGUAACUAUAUUUCUUCGAAUGCGUUUCUUCCCACCUACUUUCAAAAUUCGGCGCGGGAUCGG